rnacentral:rRNA from 1 species
GUGUGCGAUCAUACCAGUGUUAAUGCACUGGAUCCCAUCAGAACUCUGUAGUUAAGCGCGCUUGGGCUAGAGUAGUACUGGGAUGGGUGACCUCCUGGGAAGUCCUAGUGUUGCACCCU